UCGGUUACAACUCCGACUUGGUGCACCUUCGAAAGCAGCGAUUUGAUCUGUUCAAUUGGCUCAUACGAAUGUUACGGAAGCAAUGCGCAACUUGUUUCACAAGAAGCCGAUGAUGUCUCGUCCGGGACGCUGUGCUAACCUUAUCUGCAGCAGGAGCUUGCAGGGGCAGGACUAUGCAGCAGAUAAAGGCAUUCUGGCACCACUGAAGAGCUUGCACUCCACGUCUCAACUAUCACCGUCGGGGUUUCAAGCUGAAGGCUCUCACCAGUGCCAACCAGACACCCCUUCAAAGUUCAUCUGUUUUUGUUGACGGAACAGUGACGCCUGGUAAACCUGUCACGCAGAUGCCCUACCCCUCGGUAUGCAUAGUUCAAGAUUGUACCGAAACAGUCCACCUGGAGCCUUAUUUUUUAAUUGGCAGUGUCAUUACUAUCACAACACACCACACACUGCAUGUCUGUGCGUGUACAAUGCAUCAAACCUAUUCUCAGGUACAGGCGAGCUGGUACACAAUUACAACAUGAAACAACUGACACAGAGAUUGUAAAGUCAUGUCUUUUCUUCCGCGCCUCGGGUUUCAUGUUGUUAUCCUCACAUGCAGCUCAUUUCGCCUGCGCUGUGCAGCAUGAGCAAAAGUACAUGUUGUUUUUGGUCACAUGACACGGGACAUAAAUACAGUGAAACCUGCCUAUGUUGGACACCCGCGGUGCAGCCGAAGCGUGUCCUACUUAUAGAGGUGUCCGAGAUACAGAAUAUAGCGGAAGCAAAAAAAAAAAAAGGAAAACAUCACAGGUGUGUUGCCAGAAAUGUCCCCCUUCUUCAAUUUAUGGUCCUUACUGGUACCUGGUGGUGGUGCCUGGUAGUGGCACCUCU